rnacentral:rRNA from 1 species
AUACGGAGGAUGCAAGCGUUAUCCGGAUUUAUUGGGUUUAAAGGGUGCGUAGGCGGAUGAUUAAGCGUGAGGUGAAAUGCCACUGCUCAACAGUGGAACUGCCUCGCGAACUGGUUGUCUUGAAUGCUCCUGCCGUGGGAGGAAUGUGUGGUGUAGCGGUGAAAUGCAUAGAGAUCACACAGAACACCGAUUGCGAAGGCAUCUCACGAAGGGGUGAUUGACGCUGAGGCACGAAAGCGUGGGGAUCAAACAGGAUUAGAUACCCUAGUAGUCCACGCAGUAAACGAUGAUGGCUAACCGCUGGGCUUAUCAGUUCAGUGGCCAAGCGAAAGCGAUAAGCCAUCCACCUGGGGAGUACGACCGCAAGGUUGAAACUCAAAGGAAUUGAAGGGG